rnacentral:rRNA from 1 species
UACGGAGGGUGCAAGCGUUAAUCGGAAUUACUGGGCGUAAAGCGCACGCAGGCGGUUGGAUAAGUUAGAUGUGAAAGCCCCGGGCUCAACCUGGGAAUUGCAUUUAAAACUGUCCGGCUAGAGUCUUGUAGAGGGGGGUAGAAUUCCAGGUGUAGCGGUGAAAUGCGUAGAGAUCUGGAGGAAUACCGGUGGCGAAGGCGGCCCCCUGGACAAAGACUGACGCUCAGGUGCGAAAGCGUGGGGAGCAAACAGG